GCAAAAGAAAAAGCCAAAAGCAGGUCCUGCGAAGAAGGAGCCCACAGUUACUAAAGCCAAAGUAAAACCUGCAGUGGCAAAGAAAGGGCCAAUCGCUGUGAAAGAGAGGUCUAAAAGGACAG